GAUGAACGCUGGCGGCGUGCUUAACACAUGCAAGUCGAACGGAAAGGCUCCUGCUUGCAGGGGUACUCGAGUGGCGAACGGGUGAGUAACACGUGGGUGAUCUGCCCUGUACUUCGGGAUAAGCUUGGGAAACUGGGUCUAAUACCGGAUAGGACAACUUUUUGGAUAUUGUUGUGGAAAGCUUUUGCGGUAUGGGAUGAGCUCGCGGCCUAUCAGCUUGUUGGUGGGGUAAUGGCCUACCAAGGCGUCGACGGGUAGCCGGCCUGAGAGGGUGUACGGCCACAGUGGGACUGAGAUACGGCCCAGACUCCUACGGGAGGCAGCAGUGGGGAAUAUUGCACAAUGGGCGCAAGCCUGAUGCAGCGACGCCGCGUGGGGGAUGAAGGCCUUCGGGUUGUAAACUCCUUUCGCUAGGGACGAAGCUUUUUUGUGACGGUACCUGGAGAAGAAGCACCGGCUAACUACGUG
rnacentral:rRNA from 1 species